GGUCUUCUCUGUGUUUCGGAUGAGUGAGUAGUUCUAUGCAAACUUUUGUAAAAAUGCCUGUGAAAGGCCGAAGGAACCAAACACCAUGGUAUUUUUUUUUUAAUCCCAAACAGGAAAAUGGAAAGGGAUGACAGAGCAGCCAUUUUCUCUUCCCCUCUUUUAUAUGUGUUUGUGUGUUUCAACACAAAAUGUUUCAGAUGUUUUACUUGAAGCUGACAUGAAACACGAAAAGUGCCCAUCUGAAAGUCAAAGCUCUUUCCAGUGCUUUCAUUUCAGAUCAAGGACACAAAACCAACAACAGCAAAGUCUUUACAAAGGUGGAAUGUGUAUUCCUUAUCUACACAGACUGCGUCAACUCAGAAUAAAAUGCCACGGCCUUUGCCCAGAAGCUGAGAUCUUAGCAACAGAAAUGUAAAUAAUGCAGCAUUGUGCACAGAACGUGGUAACCUGCACCCAUGCAACAUGCUUACUAGAAUCAUUGCAAGAUUCUCCUAACUGUGCAGACUGAGAAGACACCUGGAACGCACUCUGUCUCCCUGCCGACCAUACAUGUGGAUUUCCUUUCUGUGGAAAUCAGACUGAGGGUAAAGGAAAACUGGGAAGAGAAGGAGAGGAAACAGGAGAGAAGAGAAGAUGAUACAUACUUGGUCUCUUCCCAACAGGGAGUAGGAUUACGGCUGAGAAGGACUCUCAGGUCUCAAUGUUUAUACAAAGUCUAUAUAAAUCAGACCCCCUUUAUCAAUGUUUGUUGACAUUUUCAAAACACUCUAACAGAUUUGCAAUUUCCAGCUCUUCCCAUUAUACAGUCAUGAGCCAUGACUACAGACCGGCCAGUCUGUAGUUUCGAGAUUCUCCCUGAAGUCUUUCCUAAAAAUUGGUGUUCUAUAUGCCGCUUCCAUGCCUCCAGUACUGAGUUCACAGCAAACCAUAAAUUACAAAGCACAGUUAAUAGGCUGGCAAUUUUAUACCAAGCUCCUGUAGAACUCCUGCGUGAACAGCAUAUUGUCCUGGCGGUUAUUUACUGUAAAAUUUCCUGAUUGGCUCUAAAAUCUGUUAUACGGCUAUUUCACUUUGGGAAUGUUUUUCUGACUGUGCCCCUAAAAAAGGUUUUGUUGUGGCAAUCACCUCAAACCCUGCCAUAAUGAACAGUGGUAGAAAAAACCUACUUAGCCUUUCUCCUGUGGUUUCUUUGAAUGCUCCUGUUAUAUCCCCGUCGCCUGCUAGUUCCUCAUGUUCUCUGGCAGAUCUCCUGUUCUUGAUGUAUUUGGAAAAAUUUUUAUGCUUCAAAAUCUUUUUUGGCCUGCUUUAUUAUGAUUUUAUAUUUAAAUUGCCAGGGUUUAUGCUAUUCCUCUUUUGGACUGAAGAAGAAAAUAACAAUAUUCCACAAAUGAAUGCACAGAUGGCAUUCACAAAAGGCUCAGGUAUUUGCAAUAGGUAUCUAAAAAUGGAACCUUGUGGUACUUGGGUGCAUGUUAAAAGCAAAGGAGUUUGCUGAGGGCUGGAUGGAGACAGAGGAGCUUAGGAAACUGUGGUCCAGGGACAGUAACUACUACUGCCUUCAUCAGCCUUCAUUCUCAGUCAGUGUCUUCCUAGAGGGUUAUCCUUUAAAUAUUUUUAAGAGAAAUACAGAGAGCCUCUGAACUGCCUAAUAGCUGUAGCAAUGCUAUUAACACAAAUUAUUAUUCCAGAGUAUUCUAACAACUAACAUUGCGGAUCCCUGUUGCACCAGAUAUUACACAAACAUAAAAUGAAAGCUAGUCCCUGAUGCAAAAAGCUAAAUGAUGCUGUCCCCAUAGCUUACAUAGUUUAGCAGACUGUUGAACAAACAGUCUCAGCAUUUCUGUCAAUAGUAUGUUUUAACAGCGAUCCCAAAGCCGUGCUCAAGCACAAACUUGCCUGCCUUUCACAUUGAUCGACAGCACGCUCCAUGUGGGAUUUGGCUAAUCUCAUUCUUAGUUUGUGCCUGUGUUCUGCAGUUUCAGAGAACAAGGAGUAUGUGCCUAAGCGUGUUGCUGGAUCAGGAUCCCACUUCAUAGAAAAUAUAUCUGAUAGUAAACACACAUUAUACUUGAUCUUAGUAUUAAAAUUAAGUGCCCUGUCUCCCGCCCCUUCCCCAGCUAGACUUCACCUAUGGCAACAGUUAUUCAUCUUGAAUUGCUUUAAUGCAGUGUUUAAGCAUGUCAUCUUGGCAACAAAGCAGCUUGCAUGGUAUUUCAGUGAGAGGUUUAAAAUCCCAUUCACAUUUUUAAUAUACGUUUCUCUCACAUAAAUUAUCACAGCUUGGUUGGCAGGCCCUGCAUGAGUAAUAAGGUUGCUGGCACAAACACACACCACAGAUCUAUUAAGGAGGAUCUUUGUACAUUCCUACAUUUAUACCAGAGCUGUGAGGGUAACUUCUACAAAAUGACUUGAGACACUUGUGUUUUACUAGCAGUACAUUAGCAGUCAUGAAAAUAACAUAUCCUCUAAAAAUGCAUCAGGGACAGUGCAGAUAAAUCCCUAUGCACCAGUUUGAAAAUUAAGCUCUUGAUAUGUGAAAUAUCUAUGCAGAAUGCAGAUUUAAUUGCUCAUAUAGGCAGGCAGACUGUACCAGAAAACUUGCUCUUACAUAAAAGAACCACACUACUGAAAGUGAGCUAAAUGCUGUUUUUACAUAUGAAAAGAAUGUGUUCUCUUUUUAGUAAAUAAUCACAUUUUAGUUUGCUUUCUCGUCUCACUUUAAUUCACAAUUUUGAGAAGUGAUCAUUCAGGUAACACUUAACUCGGGAAGUCUGGAAAAUCAGUUCUCUGCUGCUUAUGCUGCCCUCCACAUUAUAGCUCAGAGCAAUAGAUACAUGCAAAUACUUUGCAGUGCAGUUUUGCUCCAUGUUAUUUUGUAAGAUCAUGAGUUAGAUAACUUUGUCUCAAUAUCUACUUAGAAAAUAUUCAUAACUCUUGCAAUGUAGGCCUGAACUGAAGUACUUUGCACAAAGUGGGAAUCUUCUACUGGCUUUAUUUAGGGCUUUGAAUCAAGCCCUCUGUAAACAAGGAAUAAUAGGAAUAAUAAUGUAUUGUAAGGAAACACCUUUGAAGUGUCUAGCCUUUAAUUUCUCUGUGUCCCCAAUUUUGUGUUAGAUUAGCAAGACAUAUCCUUUCAUAACAGCUUAAAGAGAUAUUUGCAAAAUAAAAGUUGUAUAGUUCUACAGUCACACUGAGUUUUGGAUUGUUUCUCUAUUACACUCUGUAUAAAAGAGUAUCUUAAUUAUUGUUAUUCUUAAGUUGAACAUAACAGUAUGUUUGGCAUAAUCCAGGCGCAAGUAAUGAAAAUAUAUGAAAAUGUGAGCAGCAAACUUUGAAGUUUAUGUGCAAAUGGAUUAAAACAUAUCUAUACAAUUUGUGAAUAAAUUCACCACGAUAUGAAAAACAGAAUUAUCAGGAAACCAAGACAACUCUGCAGAUGAGGAUCCCUUUAAUGCACAGAAGAACAAAUGUUGCCCCCUGCUUGAGAGGCUGACAGUAGUUCAGAAAUGCAGAAUUCACUUAUUGGUAGCCUCUAGACAGAACACAAAGAGUUUGUCAAUGUAACUACGGAAAUGCUCAAGAAGCAAAGAGCGGAAGCAACGGGGACACACUAAGGAAUGGCAUUAUUGAUGCUGUUAUUUUGAGGCCUUUAUGACAUCUGUCUAGGCACUUGUUCAAGAGAAACAUUUACAUUUCAAACUUUGUAAUUUUAAUUAUAGGUUUUAUUAAUAAAGUUUAAAUAACAGCAUUUUAUGAGUGUUUUCUAGUAAAAAUCAUUAAAAUUCUAUUAUUUAAAA